GAACACUAAUGGCAGAGACACACAGAACGAAUAUGUGUUAUGAGGAAUGAAGGGGCCAAACCAAUGAGAGGUGUUUGAGACCAAGAAAAGUGUUUAUAGAUAUGGACCAAAGCCAAACCGUUAGAAAGAGAGUGAAAGAGGAAGAGAAAAUUCUCAAAACCCCACACCCUUUAAAUAUUUAGGUAAAAAAGGAACAUCUAAGCCGACUAAAAUAAGAACUUGUCUGUUGAGUGUGCUUAUGUGUGCGGGUGUGUGUGUGUUUGUGUGUGAGAGAGAGACAGAUGCACUGCAGCAGACCUCGUAGCCAGACUGACUGCUAAUGAUCGUGAUUAGCAUCCAUGAAUGGUUGGUUUUGAAUGGGCUCGUCUCCUCUCUUCCUCGCUUUCUCUUCCUCUCUUUCCAGCAUUCUUUCUCUCUUUCAGUGUCUCAGCUGUGUCACUGCAAGCAAAUACAGGGCUUCAGACGCACGACAACCCGAUCAAUCUCUGAUCACCCCGUCUUGGAAGAGGUCAUUCCAGACGUCUGUGGUGUAUUUAAGUAUCGUGGAUGCCUCGACUGAACUUCUACUGUUUUCAUGCACUUGGUUGCUGACGCAUACAGUUGAACGCUCUUUGAAUAGGACCCCGGAAUCCAUUGAGCUCAGGUUGCUACGGGCAACAGACCAUGGGGAGUAGGGGGCUGGGCCUAGUGCACCCCCCCCAUGUCGGCUUUGCCUUUGGCUGAGCGCUGGAUUCUUUCACUGAGACUUCUGGUUGCCAAGAGAGACAGAGCCCCUGGAAGGCUGAGGGAAAUGUAUGUGGAUUGGUUACCAGGAGUCCAGAGGGGGCUUUUUCUGUCUCUCCAUCUCUCCCUGCUUUUCUCCCUCGUUUUGUUCCUUUCUCUUUGGUUCUUUUCUUCUCUCCAGUGAGUGAAAAGAUAACAUUAAUUCGUGUCACUCUGGUUCUGUAUUCUCUGGGCCUCAGUGGCUAAAUGACGAAGCCAAAUCCCCAAACUGUAUGGAGCGUCGCCUAUUGUCUGAUUAACUUUUCCUUCUGUGCGGGUCUGGGUGUGUAUACCAACUUCUGAGCGCCUCUUUGUGAGUGUGUUUUUGUAUUUGUCCUGUGUGGAAACCUGGAGACAAACAAACUGACUCACAGGGGUGUGUGUGAGUGAGGGGAGCGGACUGAAGUUAAACCAAAGGUUAUACAGCAGAUGCUGCUCUGACCCAGUCUCACUUCCUUUCAGCGUGUUGCCAUGUCGGCUGUCUGUCGACUUCUUGUUUCCCCUUCCUCUUUUCUCUGAAGAACACAAAAUGAUAAAGGCUGCCGUUGUGAACAGAAGAACAGACGGUCGACGUGGCAUCAAGCGGUCAGGGAUGUUUGGACACAGUAGCCUGUCUGUCUGUCAGUUUCCUCUCUUUUACUCUCUCCGUACCAUGUCAAGCCAUACAGACCAUUACCAUAACUAAUUCGACACCCGGAUUCUGUUCCUGCAUAUUUCUCCGUCUCUCGUUCUCUUAACCCUCUCUUUUUGAUUCCCAGGCUUACAGUAGAAGACUUAGACAAUGGUGUGGACCUACCAGAUUUGACCCCAACACAGCUACAUCGCUGUAAACAUCUGGAAGAUAUACGAAGGGAUCAGGCUUUCUGGGGAAACACUGGAUAUUUGGGGGAACACUUUAGGCCGAAAUAUGUACAACUAAACCAAGAUGGCCCAUAACAUUUUGUUUCCAAUGAAGCUGACGCCGAGUGGGCAGAACCUAAUGCAGGAGGACCUCAUCACAGCAACUACCAACAGACAUGGGAGUGGUGAAGUUCAGGAUAUGUGUUCUCAGAAACAUUCACCAUGUGAGACUUCUUUGUCACACAGCUUGCUCAACCAGAAAGUCUGACACACUGAUGUGUUGGUCAACUUGCGACCUCAGACUGUUUACAGGCUCACGACCAGCCACAAGGAGUCACUAGAGCAUUAUGAUUCAACAGAUGCCUUUUAUUAAUGUGAUUGAGACUUGGGCUGCAUCACAUUUAAUGUAGUGUGAAACAUUUAUACUGUCUCCAAUCUCAGUUCAUUUUGGAAUGGUGACUAUAAUGACAGAAACUCUCCUUUUGGCCCCAUCUGACUUCCUGCCUAUUCUCACUUCCUGUGACCAGUCCUACCACACAUAAUUCUGGAACAUCUGUAUCCACGGUGAUGACAGCAGCAUCUGGCCACCAGUGACCCAAAUGCAAUAUGUCCAACUAUUGUAAUGAGAAGGAUUUCAGGGUUCAAAGUGUUCAGCAAACAAUAAAUAUCAAUCUGUCUCCUCAUUUAUAGACUCAUCAGUGUGCUUGUGUGUGUGUGUGUGUGUGUGUUUUUUUACAUGUCUUUGAGAGUGUUCCACAUCUCUUUAAAGCGUUAUUCUGGGAUGUCUGGUCUCCUUCUGUCCAUCUCAGUGUCCCAGGCAGCAAGCCAGGAAGAUGCUUUUAUCUCCACUCCAGUCCUCCUGGAGCUACAAAGCUUCCCAUCCAGCAAUCCAUUCACCCGUCCACCCAGCCAGACAGCCAGCCAGCCAGCCAGCCAUCCUGAACUGACACAGCUUACCAGCCACCAAUACAGUCAAGCAGUGAAUGACACAGUAAACCAGCGAAUGACACAGUCAACCA